UAGAAAUAUCAAAAACGGCUCUUCGAAGUGUCAAGCACUGAAAAGCUCAUGCGUUUCUCCGAUUGGUUGAGAAAUGGUUAUAGAUAAAUUAGCAUAAUUGCUUGGAUUAAUUUCUUCUGUCGUUUACAUUAAAGUUAAAGAUGAACAGAGCGGAUAUGAACAGCACAGAGGAUGUACAUCGAUCGUUAUCGAGUACAGGGGAAGCUGCAGAAGCAGAGCAACUGUAACACCAGCGAUCACGAAUUCACGACAUUGUCCGCCUCCUGUUCGACGAUUUGCCUCUGUGAAGCUUCGGUUUAAUCUCCAAUGGCGGUUUGAUCGCCAUUGCAGCAACUUCACCUUCUUCUUCACUCUCCCCAAUCCUGCUCCUUCGGAAAGCGCGAAUGAUCCCAAGCUUCUUCCAGCUGAAGUACGACGACGAUCCUCCACGCUUCUUCUUCUUCGUCUCAACCUGCAGCUUCUCCAUCUUCUUCUCCAUGGCAAUGCACUGGCUCUGCAGCCUCAGUACGUCUUCCUUGAGCCGCUUGAUCUCAGCUUGUUGAAUGUUCGUCUCGCGCUUGGACAGGCACCGAGUUGGGAUGUCGAGGCUGAGCGCAGAUGGACUGCGCGCUGCGCUCAGGGAGCCGCUCCAUUCGGCGUGCCUGCUAAGCUUUGUUUGUUCGGAGAGGAGCACUUGGAUGACGGCGCGCACAGGCAGCCGCUCGUUUUGUGCUGCAUGGAGGGACGCCUCGGUGGAGAGCUUCCGGCUGUCGAUCAGCUUGCAGAGCAUCUUUCGUUCUUGCUUUGGAAGCGAUGGAUGCGCCUACACAACAACAUCAAAAUAAGUCAUAUGUUACGCGAGGAUUGGGUCUUAGUCGGCUCGAUUGAAUACAACCUUGGGUGGAUCAUUAAUGUUACAUUCCAAAAGAGCUCCAUAAGUCGAAAAAUUCAGGUCAAUCUUCUUCCUUACUAAUUUAUUUACUUUCGCAUAUCUAUCGUUUAGCAGAUGCAUGUUACUUGAAGGGUAAAUUAACAUAAGUUUAUGUCCUUGUGCUAAGAACCUAAGACAUCUAUGGAUGAAAGAGCAACAAAACACCUAAUUCUUGGGAUGUAACAUAUCGAAUCGCUAUGAAAAUGUUGUUUCGAUGUUGAUAAACUUGUUUAUAGUGUUGACCGGACUUUACGACUAAGUAAAAGUUUGAUCACAAGUUUAUCUCAGGUCGAAUCUAGUUUAGUGAGGGUUAUGUAAGCCUCCACUCUUAUAGCGAGCUAAGCUUUUCAUGCCUUGAACCAUAAAUUCGAGUUACGACAACCUAAAGUUGUCGCUUUUACAAGUAGGAAGAGCGACUUUUCGUCGUGAAGAGGAUUUUGUAUUUCAAUAUAUGAAAAAAGAUUGCGAAGAAAAACCCAUAUAUUCUCAACUCUAGCUUAAGAAUCUUGUGUUGGUGACAACACAAAAUGGCCUCCCUUUAUAUGUCCUAUCUCUAUCCUAGUACUUUACCGGUGUCCGUUUUCCGGGGAAGGAAUUCGAACUUCUCUCUCAGUACAGCACUAAACUUGAGGAUAGAAAGAUAUGCUACAUUUUGUGUAGGGACUACGAGUCGAGAUAAAUGUGGUCCAAGGUUGUCCAAAGCUACCCGCGUGUGCAAGAAUCUCGCCAUUUUUCUCAGCGUAAAAAGGAUUACGAUAAAAAGAAAGGAUGUAGAGUGCUAACCUUGAGGUAGGUGUCGAUGGCGCGAUAAAGCCCAUCAUCCAUGGGGCGAGAAUGGCUCGGGAGAGCGCAAGCGAGCUCCAAAAACUCAGCCAAUGUCAGGCACGAGUCGACAGCUGCUUCAGCGAGGCGGAGGACGAGCUUGACGUCGAGCAAAGUCGUGGCCGUGUGGCUAAACGAUGGAAUCAUCAGCUCCUUCAACGAGGCCUGGUCGAGCUGCCAUGAAACCCGCCUCUCCAGCUCCAAACGGUAACCCGGCUCGAUGCGAACCAUGUUC